ACACACGUGCUACAAUGGCCGGUACAAAGGGCAGCGACACAGCGAUGUGAAGCGAAUCCCGAAAAAGCCGGUCUCAGUCCGGAUUGGAGUCUGCAACUCGACUCCAUGAAGUUGGAAUCGCUAGUAAUCGCGGAUCAGCACGCCGCGGUCGAAUACGUUCCCGGGCCUU
rnacentral:rRNA from 1 species